CAGGAGGAGGCCAGGUCAAAGCCGAAUUACCACACCAAGAAAAGAGACUGAUACUUGCAAAAUAUCAUCAGGCACUGCUGAUGGUUUGACUACGGGAUCUCCAAUCAAAGUUGAAGUACCCAACACUGACCAGAGAGGAAAUGACUAUAGUGAAAUGUCCCUUGCUUAUAGGCCAUCUCAUGCUGAUGCAACUUAUGACUUCAAGUAUGGAGUUAGAUCAGUACAGGGGGGAGGUAGAUCCUCAGCAAGAGAAACCAUCGGGAGAGUCGCUGCUGGAGCUGUUGCCAAGAAAAUUCUCAAACUUUAUUCAGGAACUGAGAUCCUUGCUUAUGUUUCACAAGUUCACAAUGUUGUACUUCCAGAGGAUUUAGUUGAUAACCAGAUUGUGACACUAGAGCAGAUUGAAAGCAAUAUUGUUCGUUGCCCGAACCCUGAAUAUGCAGAAAAGAUGAUUGGUGCCAUUGAUUAUGUACGAGUGAGGGGGGAUUCUGUUGGUGGUGUCGUAACUUGCAUUGUUAGAAAUGUUCCACGAGGUCUUGGUACACCAGUCUUUGAUAAACUUGAAGCUGAG
rnacentral:misc_RNA from 1 species